UACGGGGGGGGCAAGCGUUGUUCGGAAUUACUGGGCGUAAAGGGCUCGUAGGCGGCCAACUAAGUCAGACGUGAAAUCCCUCGGCUUAACCGGGGAACUGCGUCUGAUACUGGAUGGCUUGAGUUUGGGAGAGGGAUGCGGAAUUCCAGGUGUAGCGGUGAAAUGCGUAGAUAUCGGGAGGAACAUCAGUGGCGAAGGCGGCCUUCUGGUCCAGUACUGACACUCAAGUGCGAAAGCGUGGGGAGCAAACAGG
rnacentral:rRNA from 1 species